rnacentral:misc_RNA from 1 species
UACGUAGGUGGCAAGCGUUAUCCGGAAUUAUUGGGUUUAAAGGGUGCGUAGGCGGGGAAUUAAGUCAGUGGUGAAAGCCCACAGCUCAACUGUGGAUGUGCCAUUGAUACUGGUUUUCUUGAGUAUAGUUGAGGCAGGCGGAAUUUACGAUGUAGCGGUGAAAUGCAUAGAUAUCGUAAAGAACACCUAUAGCGAAGGCAGCUUGCUAAACUAUAACUGACGCUGAGGCACGAAAGCAUGGGUAGCGAACAGG